rnacentral:rRNA from 1 species
GGAAUAUUGGACAAUGGGCGCAAGCCUGAUCCAGCCAUGCCGCGUGAGUGAUGAAGGCCUUAGGGUUGUAAAGCUCUUUCGCCAGGGACGAUAAUGACGGUACCUGGAUAAGAAGCCCCGGCUAACUUCGUGCCAGCAGCCGCGGUAAUACGAAGGGGGCUAGCGUGGUUCGGAAUCACUGGGCGUAAAGCGUAUGCAGGCGGACCGUUAAGUGAGGGGUGAAAUCCCGAGGCUCACCCGCGGAACUGCCUGUCAUACUGGCGAUCUUCGAGUCCGGGAGAGGUGAGUGGAACUGCGAGUGUAGAGGUGAAAUUCGUAGAUAUUCGCAAGAACACCAGUGGCGAAGGCGGCUCACUGGCCCGGUACUGACGCUGAGAUACGAAAGCGUGGGGAGCAAAC